AGGAAACUGUCCACUAACUAUAAGUGAAACAGGAAAAUACUUCCCACCUGACAUCUUCUUUGAUCAAAAUUUAACCUCAUGAACAUAAACUAUUGAAAUAUAACAGAACCCAGACUUUGAAAUAUAAGGAAAACUAGAAUUGUAGCAGCCUAAGUGUUUGCAAUUCCUUAACGGUGCUGCAUUGUUCUCUCACCAAGUCAGUUUAUAGGGAAGCACAAACAUCAUGAGAGAAGAAGGCUACUGUGAGCGGGAGAAACCAACACUGAAUUUGCUGUGUGCCC